UUGACACUCUCCGUGAGUGAUUGUGUAUCUGACCUCUCUCCUUCUGCCUUCCUGUCUCUCGCUUUCUCUCCUCUCUCCUUCUCUCUAUCUCUCUCACAGUGCUCUCCUCCUUUCAUGUCUGUCUCUCUUUAACGAAUGGCGAUUUGGGUGAACACGUGUCCGAUCUAGGCCGGGAAUUUAGAUUCAAGCGGACUUUUUGCCGGGAUCCGGUUGUCUUUUCCUUCUGUUUCUUUGUUUUCCCAGUGUUUUUUGUCAUCGUAGUACUUGCAAGCUUUUAUUAUUGCUGGGCUGUUCUUUUACUCUCUGGUGAUUUCAGCUCAUCCAUCCGCGGCAGAUGAGGCUGAUCGCCGGAAUCUGAGGUGGGUUUAAAUGGGUUGUUGGCUUUCGGCCGGAAUCUGAUCGGAGGAGUCUGACCAUCAAAUCCAAAACUGCGAAUUACGGAGACAAACUGUGAUGGAUUGUUGCGUGUUGUCUGUCUGCUUUUUUUUUUUCUUUUUUCAUUUGGGGAAGGUAAUUAAGAGAAAAACAAAACGGGUUUUUUGUUUUUAGUUCUUAGGGGAGGUGGGGUUUCAGGUUUGUGUGUUGUAAUCAGAACUGCAGAUUCUUAUGCGGCCAUCAUGUCAUCGUUCUACGUUCAAACCACUAGUAACACGCCACGUUGGCACAUUCUCGUGGUCAUCAAUCUGAAGACGGUGCAUGAAUCUUCGUUUCUACUACUACCUACUACCCAGACCUCUCUUAGCUCUCCAACUCCUCUCUCUCCCUCUCUCUCUCUCUCUCUGUUUUUCAAUCCCCCUCUUUCCCUCCUUGUAUUUUUUACCUGCUUUUUCUCUGAUUUGGGUUUUAUAUUGAUUUUUAUAUAUCUUCAAGUCUAAUCAGUAUAUCGUGCAUGGAUUGAUUGACAGUCGUUGUUUGCGGAUGUAGCAUCAUCAAGAUUCACAUGUAAAUACAUGGCGGUUAAGUAAUAAUCUCUGCCCGAGUUCUGAACUGAGAAUCUUGAUGAUGCUGCAUCGGCAAUAAGCGACUACACAAGAAAAUUUAUUGUACCACAUUGGAUGCGAAACCAGAGGUGAAUUAUCUGGGUUCUCUCUCUCUCUCCCGCUCUCACUCUCGGCUGUUGCUGGUUCAGUUUUCUUUCUGAUAAUUUUAUCAAACCAAGGAGCUAUCAUCAGACAAAGAUACUGAUUUCGUGAGCUUGUUCAAAGAUGGGAUGAUGAUGAUGUUGGCGAUGGGAGAUUGAAAUGGGACUUGAACAUGAUUAGAAAUCAAUGUUCGAGCAUCAUAAAGUGCACAGAAGAGAAGAGGCAAGGGAAAAUCGCUUAUUGGUUAGUGUUUCUAUUUCUUCUGUUGUCUGUGUGAUGUUUCUUUGGAGUGUAAAUGUUUGUUGUUCUUGAUGGUGGUGGUGGUGGUGCUGUUUUUGUUUCUUGAUAAAAACACAACAGUUUGGUGAAGUCCAGUGGCUAUUUUGUGCCUUGAUAAGAGGAUAUUAAAUAUGAUUUGGAUUAGUUUAUGGCCUUAUGGGCUGUGAAGGAGUAGAUCUUUGAAACUUGCUACUCUCUCCCCCGGAAACUUUGAAUGCAAAUAAUGGUGAGAAGUAAGAACUAGUCAUUUAAUCACUGCCAUGGAUGGGUUGCUUUAACUCUUUCACCCAUCAGUCCAUCACUGGUGUAGGUGGACCAACCUGGAGAGACAUCUCGCCUAUUGGUCCCCUUGGAAAAAAGUUCUCUCUCUCUAGACUCUCAUUUGCACAGAGAAAAACCCUUAUUCACACACACAAACAACCCAAUACACACGCAAACACAUUUGGUGCACCUGUUUUUUUCACCUCAUCUUGGUUAACACUCAAAAGUUAUCCAAUGACCCUCAAUUUUGCGUUUACACUUGCAUUUGCUUUCAUUGUUUCUAGGGUUGCUUGGGAGUUGGGAAUAUCCCCCAUGAGAGUAUGAAGAUGAAAUUAUGUCAAUGUGCUUGAGAUAUUUAGAGACGUGCUUCUCACCAGUCAUUAUAGUGAUAAUUGAUUCAUUUCUAGCUUCAUAAAACCUUUCUACUCCUGCAAUUAUCCAUUAAGGGAUUCUUUGCAUACUUCUUUGAAAAGAUGAGUCUCAGUUCAUCCUCGUCCUUCCUUUUCUUUUCCUGGGUAAACCAAGUUAACCUCAUCAAGAAGUUACCUCUUACAUCCUUCACUGAUGGAUUCAACUUAUUUGAGCAAAGCCGUUGAGCUUCAAAAUGUAGGAUUAGCUUGUCAGAAAUAAAAUUACAGUCACUCGUGCAAUGAUACAACACAGGUAUGCACAUCUCUCCGAAUAUUUUGUUGUUUUUUUGUUUCUUUGGAUGAAAGCAGUCACUAGUCUCUCAUAUAAUAGGUUUUUCAUAUGAACAAUUGUAAAACUUAAUAGAUGAAUCAUUCGAAUAGAAUUUAGUUGUAAUAAUUCACAGACAUACCCUAAACACCGUCGGGUGAUAACUGGGUGAAUUGAGAAACUUUUUUGUCUGUUAGUGAAGAAGUUUUUGAGGA